UUUCAGUGGCAUUUAAAUCCCCGGCGCUCCUCCAGUCUGGGUGACGCGCAGUCGCCCCCCCAGGCGGCCCAGGCGGCGGCAGCUGCUGCGGCGGCUGCAAGGGCAGAUUCGGAGCGCUGGGCCGAAGGGGAACAGAAGCCACCUUCUGCGCGCGCCGACUCCGCUCUCCUCCCCCUCCGGGAGGUGGGGGCUGGGAGGCAUCCCCGUCUCCGCCCCCCUCCCCACCGUGCACAGAAAGAUGAACUGGCAAGAGGUCUGUUUGCCUGGACCCAUCAACAGCUGGGAGACUAAUCAACCACACUGAAAAUGUUUCCGGGAUUGUGGGGGAGGGGUUGGAAUGUAGAUGUUUGAAACAAAUGUGUACAAAUAAAUGAAUUGUUGAUAACUUA